rnacentral:tRNA from 1 species
UCCCUUGUGGUCCAGUGGUUAAGACUCUGUGCUUCCAAUGCAGGGAUUGCAGGUUCAAUUUCUGGUUGGGGGA